CACCAGGUUGAUUCUGCCUGACGUGGAUGCUAGUCUCAUAGAUUAAGCCAUGCAUGUGUAAGCGAAGCGAUUAGUGAAGCGGCGGACGGCUCAGUAACGGGCAAGUAUUUAAUCUCUCGAACCGGACAGCCUCAGGAAACAGAGGGAAAAACGGAGUUAUUUGUUAAAACGAAUGAUGAGACCAAUGAAUUUUUUUAUUGUGCGAGAGAGUAAGAAGCCAUCCCAUCAGUUAGUAAGUAGGGUAAGGGCCUACUUAGACGAAGACGGGUACGGGGGAUUAGGGUUUGAUUCCGGAGAGGGAGCCUGAGAGAUGGCUACCAGGUCCAAGGACAGCAGCAGGCGCGAAAAUUACCACAGCCCGCAUUGGGGCGGUAGUGAAGAGACGUGAAAACAAGAGUGUGUAGAUAUCACUAAAGUAACUGGAGGUCAAGUCUGGUGCCAGCAUCCGCGGUAAUACCAGCUCCAGGAGUGUCUAUGAUGAUUGCUGCGAUUAAAAGGUCCGUAGUCAAAGAACUUUACCUGUCUGUAAUGUGGUUUAUCAAAAGCCAAUUAGGAUUGAUAUGGUUCCGAGUUAGGAGCGAUGGAGGGCUAGAUUAUUGAGCAGCGAGAGGUGAAAUUUGAUGACCUGCUUAGGAGUAACAAAGGCGAAAGCACUAGUCAAGAGCGUAUCCGAUGAUCAAGGACGUAGGCUGGAGUAUCGAAGACGAUUAGAGACCGUAGUAGUUCCAGCAGUAAACGAUGCCUACACUGUUAAAGAAGAAUUUUUUGACAGAAGAGAAAUCUAGUAGGGCUACGGGGAGAGUACGCGCGCAAGCGCCAAAUUUAAAGGAAAUUGACGGAAGAACACCACAAGGAGUGGAGUGUGCGGCUUAAUUUGACUCAACGCAGGACAACUUACCAUAGCCGAUGACCAAGUGAGCGUAGUACGCGAUAGGUCAAAGAGUGGUGCAUGGCCGUUAUCGACUAGUGGGGUGACCUUUGGGUUAAGUCCGCGAAGUAGUGAGAUCCCUAGGAUUCUAAUAUAAUUUUUUUUUAAAUUAUUUUUUAGAUAUCGACAGGAGCGAGAAGCGCCGGAAGGAAGGGGCAAGAAACAGGUCAGUGAUGCCCUUAGGUGGUAUGGGCUGCACGCGCACUUACAGUGGUCACAACAAAAUCAAAAAAGAAAUAAAUGUGAUCAAGAGGGAAUGAGCGCUGUAAUGUGCACAGGAACGAGGAAUUGCUAGUAAUCGUUAUCUCACUAAGAAGCGAUGAAUGUGUCCCUGUUCUUUGUACACACCGCCCGUCGUUAUCGAAGAUGGAACCAGGUGCGAACAAGUCCCAGCCCAGUGAGUGCAGGGUUCUAGAUAUGAUACAAGUCGUAACAAGGUAACC
rnacentral:rRNA from 1 species